rnacentral:rRNA from 1 species
CUUGACAAACUUAUAAGAGGUCCAGCCUGCCCAGUGACUCUGUUCAACGGCCGCGGUAUCCUAACCGUGCGAAGGUAGCGUAAUCACUUGUUCUUUAAAUGAGGACUAGUAUGAAUGGCACCACGAAGGUUAUACUGUCUCCUUUUUCUAAUCAGUGAAACUAAUCUUCCCGUGAAGAAACGGGAAUAAAAAUAUAAGACGAGAAGACCCUAUGGAGCUUUAAACAAAUAUACACCUGCCUCUUUACCAAGAAUUUCAGAAGACAAGUAAUUACCCGGGCAUUUUGAUAUAGCGUUUUAGGUUGGGGUGACCGCGGAGCAAAAAAUAACCUCCGCAACGAACGGGAGUAUUUCCUAAACCAAGGGCCACAACCCCAAGUAUUGAUAAAUCAACACUAAUUGACCCAAUAAAUUUGAUCAAUGAAC